GACAGAGGAUGCAAGUGUUAUCCGGAAUCACUGGGCGUAAAGCGUCUGUAGGUGGUUCAAUAAGUCAACUGUUAAAUCUUGAGGCUCAACUUCAAAAAUCGCAGUCGAAACUAUUGGACUCGAGUAUAGUAGGGGUAAAGGGAAUUUCCAGUGGAGCGGUGAAAUGCGUAGAGAUUGGAAAGAACACCAAUGGCGAAAGCACUUUACUGGGCUAUUACUGACACUGAGAGACGAAAGCUAGGGUAGCAAAUGGG
rnacentral:rRNA from 1 species